rnacentral:lncRNA from 1 species
CCCUUUAGUCAGCAUUAGGGUUUUAAACCCUAAACUGAAUUUUCCCUUGAGUCAGCAUUAGGGUUUUAAACCCUAAACUGAACUUUUUCCUUUCAGCCAACAUUAGAGUUUUAAACUCUAAACUGAGCUUUUCCAUGCAAUCAGCAUUAGGGUUUUAAACCCUAAACUGAAUUUUCCUUUUAGUCAGCAUUAGGGUUUUAAACCCUAAACUGAACUUUUUCCUUUCAGCCAGCAUUAGGGUUUUAAAACCCUAAACUAGCUUUUCCAUGCAAUCAGCAUUAGGGUUUUAAACCCUAAACUGAACUUUUCCUUUUACCGUCAGCACUUAGGGUUUAAACCCUAAACCUGAACUUUUUCCUUUCAGCCAGCAUUAGGGUUUUAAACCCUAAACUGAGCUUUUCCAUGCAAUCAGCAUUAGGGUUUUAAACCCUAAACUGAAUUUUCCUUUUAGUCAGCAUUAGGGUUUUAAACCCUAAACUGAACUUUUUCCUUUCAGCCAGCAUUAGGGUUUUAAACUCUAAACUGAGAUUUU